rnacentral:rRNA from 1 species
AUUGAACGCUGGCGGCAGGCCUAACACAUGCAAGUCGAACAGUGGCGGACGGGUGAGUAACGCGUAGGUAACUACCUAUUAGAGGGGGAUAACUAUUGGAACCGAUCGCUAAUACCGAAUACUAGUACAUGUACCUUCGUUGUAUUAGCUAGUAGGUAGGGUAAUGGCCUAACUAGGCCACGAUACAUAGCCGACCUGAGAGGGGUAUCGGCCACAAUGGGACUGAGCAACGGCCCAGAAUCCUACGGGAGGCAGCAGUAGGGAAUCUGCGGCAAUGGGGGGAACGCUGACCGAGCAACGCCGCGUGAGUGAAGAAGGUUUUCGGAUCGUAAAGCUCUGUUGUUAAGGAAGCGGUACUUAACCAGAAAGGGACGGCUAACUACGUGCCAGCAGCCGCGGUAAUUC